rnacentral:lncRNA from 1 species
GCCUUACUUUCCAUAAAAAAAAAAUCAUGGGCGAGGGGUGGGGCUGCAUACAAAAUCAUUAAAAAAGGGAAACAUUGUCUAAUUUCUUUACCAUGAACGAAAAGUGAAUUAAUUCCAAUUUCAGUCUAAUAUAUCUAGUGACAAGAAGCAUAUACACAGUUUUCGUUAUAUAUUUCAUUAUAUACUUCUUAAUAUCAUCAUUUAUUAAUG